UAGGGAAUCUUCGGCAAUGGGGGCAACCCUGACCGAGCAACGCCGCGUGAGUGAAGAAGGUUUUCGGAUCGUAAAGCUCUGUUGUAAGAGAAGAACGUGUGUGAGAGUGGAAAGUUCACACAGUGACGGUAACUUACCAGAAAGGGACGGCUAACUACGUGCCAGCAGCCGCGGUAAUACGUAGGUCCCGAGCGUUGUCCGGAUUUAUUGGGCGUAAAGCGAGCGCAGGCGGUUUAAUAAGUCUGAAGUUAAAGGCAGUGGCUUAACCAUUGUUCGCUUUGGAAACUGUUAAACUUGAGUGCAGAAGGGGAGAGUGGAAUUCCAUGUGUAGCGAUGAAAUGCGUAGAUAUAUGGAGGAACACCGGUGGCGAAAGCGGCUCUCUGGUCUGUAACUGACGCUGAGGCUCGAAAGCGUGGGGAGCAAACAG
rnacentral:rRNA from 1 species